AGCUCCCACAAAAGCAGUUUCAUCUGGGCACGGCUGCUGCAUUGCGCUGUAGGGUACAAAUGGGGGGGAGGUCCUGUUCUGUCAUCUUGGUGACGUCCUCUCCUAUUACUGCAUUUCUUUUAUUUUCAGUGAGAGUGAAUACCUAUUAAACAGCAAAUUGCCGCUUCGGCUGCUAUCCAGCUCCUGAGGAACACUGUUCUGCUUUUGCUUCCUAUGAG